rnacentral:rRNA from 1 species
CAUUAUUGAAUAAACUUGCUUGGGUUGUUGCUAGUCCUUAGGGAUAUGUGCACACCUGACAUUUUAAUUAUAACCCACUUGUGCACUUUUGUAGACCCUCAAGAUUGCGAAAUUAAACCUUUGCUUUCUGGUCUAUGGCCUUUUAAUACAUACUUUAAAAAUAUAUUGGAAUGUUGGCUUUUAAAUGAAAUAAUACAACUUUCAACAAUGGAUCUCUUGGCUCUUGCAUCGAUGAAGAACGCAGCGAAAUGCGAUAAGUAAUGUGAAUUGCAGAAUUCAGUGAAUCAUCGAAUCUUUGAACGCACCUUGCGCUCUUUGGUACUCCGAAGAGCAUGCCUGUUUGAGUGUCAUGAAAUUAUCAACCUUUCUAGUUAUCUAGUCUGGCUUGGAUUUAUGGGAGUUUGCUGGCUAUAAUAAUAAAGUCAGCUCUUCUUAAAUAUAUUAGCAGAACUCUCGCUAACAAUCCCAUUGGUGUUGAUAAAUUAUCUAUACCAUUUGGAGUUGGCUUUGUUCAGCUUUCUAAUGAAAUCAGUCUGACAAUUGACCU